rnacentral:rRNA from 1 species
UACGUAGGGUGCAAGCGUUGUCCGGAAUUAUUGGGCGUAAAGAGCUCGUAGGUGGUUUGUCGCGUUGUUCGUGAAAACUCACAGCUUAACUGUGGGCGUGCGGGCGAUACGGGCAGACUGGAGUACUGCAGGGGAGACUGGAAUUCCUGGUGUAGCGGUGGAAUGCGCAGAUAUCAGGAGGAACACCGGUGGCGAAGGCGGGUCUCUGGGCAGUAACUGACGCUGAGGAGCGAAAAGCGUGGGGGAGCGAACAGG